CCGUUAAAAAAUGGUGGGCACUCUAAGGAGACUGCCGGUGACAAACCGGAGGAAGGUGGGGAUGACGUCAAGUCAUCAUGGCCCUUACGGCCUGGGCUACACACGUGCUACAAUGGUCGGUACAAAGGGUUGCCAAGCCGCGAGGUGGAGCUAAUCCCAUAAAACCGAUCGUAGUCCGGAUCGCAGUCUGCAACUCGACUGCGUGAAGUCGGAAUCGCUAGUAAUCGUGAAUCAGAAUGUCACGGUGAAUACGUUCCCGGGCCUU
rnacentral:rRNA from 1 species